UACGAAGGGGGCUAGCGUUGCUCGGAAUCACUGGGCGUAAAGCGCACGUAGGCGGCUUUCUAAGUCAGGGGUGAAAUCCUGGAGCUCAACCCCGGAACUGCCUUUGAUACUGGUAGUCUCGAGUCCGGAAGAGGUGAGUGGAGUUCCGAGUGUAGAGGUGAAAUUCGUAGAUAUUCGCAAGAACACCAGUAGGCGAAGGCGGCUCACUGGCCCGAUACUGACGCUGAGGUGCGAAAGCGUGGGGAGCCAAACAGG
rnacentral:rRNA from 1 species